rnacentral:rRNA from 1 species
AGGUCUUGACAUCGAGUGACGGCUCUAGAGAUAGAGCUUUCUCUUCGGAGACACGAAGACAGGUGGUGCAUGGUUGUCGUCAGCUCGUGUCGUGAGAUGUUGGGUUAAGUCCCGCAACGAGCGCAACCCUUAUGAUUAGUUGCUACGCAAGAGCACUCUAAUCAGACUGCCGUUGACAAAACGGAGGAAGGUGGGGAUGACGUCAAAUCAUCAUGCCCUUUAUGACCUGGGCCUCACACGUACUACAAUGGCGAUCAACAAAGUGAAGCAAACACGCGAGUGGGAGCAAAACACAAAAAAUCGUCUCAGUUCAGAUUGCAGGCUGCAACUCGCCUGCAUGAAGUCGGAAUUGCUAGUAAUCGCAGAUCAGCAUGCUGCGGUGAAUACGUUCCCGGGCC